UUCGGACACUGAAAUACAGCAGAUGCAUAGAUACAUGUAUGCAACAUUCAGAGCUCGCUCCAUGUCACUGUUCAUAUUGUUACCCAUUCUUAGAAUGCUUUAAGUCACAAUGGUUUGGAUGGAGAAAGACUUUUACAACACAUCAUAUCUUCUAAAAUGGUUGAUAUGCUCCAGUAGGUUUCCUUGCCUCCCAUUCUGCAAUUAUUGUAAGCAUAAGCCAAGAUGUAUGUCACACUGCAAUUUUGACAUGCUGUCCAACUGAACUAGCAGUUAGGACCAUUACCUUGAAGAGACAUAAUGAAUAUCAGAAGAGUUUACAUAAUUCCUAAAUUACAAAUUAAAAAUGGCAUGGCAGUAAAAGAGAUCAUUAGAAAUUCUAUAACUGUGAAGACACAUGUUCUUUUAAAGAUCCAUGAUGGAGACCUGACCUGUGCCACUGCAGAUAAUAAAAGUGAUGCUAUCUCUUGGAAAGAAGAGUCUUCUUUCAGAGCAGGUGACUCAUCUUCCAUGGCUGUCUAGGCUGGGAUUUGGGAAUCAAAGGUGAAUAAACAGAGCACAGAGCCUAAGAUUGUUUUUUUU
rnacentral:lncRNA from 1 species